rnacentral:rRNA from 1 species
CCCUUAGAUGUUCUGGGCCGCACGCGCGCUACACUGACACGUUCAUCAAGUCUAUAACCUUGACCGAGAGGUCUGGGUAAUCUUUUAAAAACGUGUCGUGCUGGGGAUAGAUUAUUGCAAUUAUUAAUCUUCAACGAGGAAUUCCUAGUAAGCGCAAGUCAUCAGCUUGCGUUGAUUACGUCCCUGCCCUUUGUACACACCGCCCGUCGCUACUACCGAUUGAAUGGCUUAGUGAGGCUUCCGGAUUGGUUUAGAGAAGGGGGCAACUCCAUCUUGGAACCGAGAAGCUAGUCAAACUUGGUCAUUUAGAGGAAGUAAAAGUCGUAACA